rnacentral:rRNA from 1 species
CUACGGGCGGCAGCAGUGGGGAAUAUUGGACAAUGGGGGAAACCCUGAUCCAGCAAUGCCGCGUGUGUGAAGAAGGCCUGCGGGUUGUAAAGCACUUUCGGUUGGGAGGACUGCUUCUAGCACUAAUAUUGUUGGAAGUUGACGUUACCUUCAGAAGAAGCACCGGCUAACUCCGUGCCAGCAGCCGCGGUAAUACGGAGGUGCAAGCGUUAAUCGGAAUUACUGGGCGUAAAGCGCGCGUAGGCGGCUAGAUCAGUCGGGUGUGUAAGCCCCGGGCUUAACCUGGGAACUGCAUCCGAUACUGUCUAGCUUGAGUACAGGAGAGGAGAGUGGAAUUCCACAUGUAGCGGUGAAAUGCGUAGAUAUGUGGAGGAACACCAAUGGCGAAGGCAGCUCUCUGGCCUGAUACUGACGCUGAGGUGCGAAAGCGUGGGGAGCAAACAGGAUUAGAUACCCGUGUAGUC